UAACGGAGAAUAAGGGUUCGACUCCGGAGAGGGAGCCUGAGAAACGGCUACCACAUCCAAGGAAGGCAGCAGGCGCGCAAAUUACCCACUCUCAGAAUGAGGAGGUAGUGACGAAAAAUAACGAGACCGUUCUCUUUGAGGCCGGUUAUCGGAAUGGGUACAAUUUAAACCCGUUAACGAGGAUCUAUGAGAGGGCAAGUCUGGUGCCAGCAGCCGCGGUAAUUCCAGCUCUCAAAGUGUAUAUCGUCAUUGCUGCGGUUAAAAAGCUCGUAGUUGGAUCUGCGUCUCAGGACCUGGUCCAUCCAUUGGAUGAGAACUGGGCUCCUAGGCUAAUAUUGCCAGUUUUCCCUACGUUACCUUGAUCGGUUGCGUAUGGUGGCUAGCAAGUUUACCUUGAAAAAAUUAGAGUGCUCAAUGCGGGCUAAUGCCUGAAUACUCGUGCAUGGAAUAAUGAAAUAGGAUCUCGGUUCUAUUUUGUUGGUUUUCUGAUCUGAGAUAAUGGUUAAGAGGGACGGACGGGGGCAUUCGUAUCGCUGCGUGAGAGGUGAAAUUCUUGGACCGUAGCGAGACGUACGACUGCGAAAGCAUUUGCCAAGAAUGUCUUCAUUAAUCAAGAACGAAAGUCAGAGGUUCGAAGGCGAUCAGAUACCGCCCUAGUUCUGACCGUAAACGAUACCAACUAGCGUUCCGUCGGCGGUAAAUACGCCUUGACGGGCAGCUUCCCGGAAACGAAAGUUUUUCGGUUCCGGGGAAGUAUGGUUGCAAAGCUGAAACUUAAAGAAAUUGACGGAAGGGCACCACCAGGAGUGGAGCCUGCGGCUUAAUUUGACUCAACACGGGAAAACUCACCUGGCCCGGACACCGUGAGGAUUGACAGAUUGAGAGCUCUUUCAUGAUUCGGUGGUUGGUGGUGCAUGGCCGUUCUUAGUUGGUGGAGUGAUUUGUCUGGUUUAUUCCGAUAACGAGCGAGACUCUAGCCUACUAAAUAGUUACUGGAUAAUUUUGUCCAGACAACUUCUUAGAGGGACAAGCGGUGUUUAGCCGCAUGAAGUUGAGCAAUAACAGGUCUGUGAUGCCCUUAGAUGUCCAGGGCUGCACGCGCGCUACACUGGAGGAAUCAGCGUGCUGUAACCAUUACCGAAAGGUACUGGUAACCCCUUGAAAAUCCUCCGUGAUCGGGAUCGGGAAUUGCAAUUAUUUCCCUUGAACGAGGAAUUCCUAGUAAGUGUGAGUCAUCAGCUCACGUUGAUUACGUCCCUGCCCUUUGUACACACCGCCCGUCGCUGCCCGGGACUGAGCCGUUUCGAGAAAAGCGGAGACUGCUGUUUUGAUACCUUUCGAGGUGGAGAUUCUUUGGUGGAAACCGCUUUAAUCGCAGUGGCUUGAACCGGGCAAAAGUCGUAACAAGGUUUCCGUAGGUGAACCUGCGGAAG
rnacentral:rRNA from 1 species